GGGGUGCACAGCACCGCUGCCCACGGCGCUGCGGAUCGGCCCAGGCUCCAAGGCGACUUUUCGGGGUGCUCAAGCAAAGCGGGGCAGCAAGAGCCAGACUCGAGCAGGGCUUCGAGUAUGUGAGAGACUGUCACCCUCAGACCCCGGGGACGGCGACCGGAGCCGUCCCUGGGGGCUGGCACCCCGAUCCCGGCGCACCCCGAAGCCGUCGCACCGGGAGCGGAGCGCCCGAACGCGCGAGGGCCGGCGAGCCUUUUGCAGGAAGGUUGCUUUUAAUCAAAGGAGAAUAAAAUGAAGCUGAGCUCUUGAGCGUUGCGGGCGUCGGCGAGACGCAGGAGAGCCCGGGAGGCAGAAAUGAUGUUCCCCGCCGUGCAAUGUCGUGUUUCGCUGGGUGUGAAUUAAAAACCCCUGAUCAGACAUGCUUCCCCCCCCAUCCCAGUACUUAGGUUGUUUGGCUUAGCUUAUUAGAUCUGCUGCAAUAAAAUCUUGAAAAUA